UACGUAGGGUGCAAGCGUUGUCCGGAAUUAUUGGGCGUAAAGAGCUUGUAGGCGGUUUGUCGCGUCUGCUGUGAAAUUUCGGGGCUCAACCCCGAACUUGCAGUGGGUACGGGCAGACUAGAGUGUGGUAGGGGAGACUGGAAUUCCCAGUGUAGCGGUGAAAUGCGUAGAUAUUGGGAAGAACACCUGAGGCGAAGGCGGGAUGCUGGGCCGACACUGACGCUGAGGCGCGAAAGCCAGGGGAGCAAACGGG
rnacentral:rRNA from 1 species